rnacentral:rRNA from 1 species
GACGUAGGGCGCGAGCGUUGUCCGGAUUUAUUGGGCGUAAAGAGCUCGUAGGCGGCUCAUUGCGUCGUCGGUGAAAACCCGCAGCUCAACUGUGGGCUUGCAGCUGAUACGGGCGGGCUAGAAUUCGGUAGGGGGAGACUGGAAUUCCUGGUGUAGCGGUGAAAUGCGCAGAUAUCAGGAGGAACACCGGUGGCGAAGGCGGAUCUCUGGGCCUGUUCUGACGCUGAGGCGCGAAAGCUAGGGGAGCGAACAGG